rnacentral:sRNA from 1 species
CGCCAAGUCCGAGGCUUCGGCAAUCACCGGAGCCUGGUGCAAGAAGGA